UACGUAAGGCCCGAGCGUUGUCCGGAAUCAUUGGGCGUAAAGGGUACGUAGGCGGUUAGAAAAGUUUGAAGUAAAAGGCUAUAGCUCAACCAUAGUAAGCUUUUAAAACUGUUUAACUUGAGAGAUGGAAGGGAAAGUGGAAUUCCUAGUGUAGCGGUGAAAUGCGCAGAUAUGAGGAGGAAUACCGGUGGCGAAGGCGACUUUCUGGCCAGAAACUGACGCUGAGGUACGAAAGCGUGGGGAGCAAACAGG
rnacentral:rRNA from 1 species